UACGUAGGGGGCAAGCGUUGUCCGGAAUCAUUGGGCGUAAAGAGCGUGUAGGCGGCUCGGUAAGUCCGCUCUGAAAGCCCGGGGCUCAACCCCGGGAGGCGGGCGGAUACUGUCGGGCUAGAGUCCGGAAGAGGCGAGUGGAAUUCCUGGUGUAGCGGUGAAAUGCGUAGAGAUGCGGAGGAACACCGAUGGCGAAGGCAGCCCCCUGGGCUAGCACUGACGCUCAGGCACGAAAGCGUGGGGAGCAAACAGG
rnacentral:rRNA from 1 species